rnacentral:lncRNA from 1 species
CUUCUUCGUGAUUGUAAACAUACCUAUUAAAGAAAUGUUUAAGAGGUAGAGUACCUUUCUUUCUUAAUUGAAAGAGGUAGCAGGUAGAAAUACCCCUAAACCUCGGAGUUCAAAGUUCAUAAUUUUUAUGAUCCCUCAGACAGAUAUGAAAAGUUUUUUUUUAAACCCUUCAGAGUAAUGUUGUGGUAGAACGUGAUGAUUGAUAUGAAAUAAUGUAAACUCGUUGUGUACGAGUAGAAUCUGAGAUGAUUGAAUAAAGGUUAUUAUGACAACCUAGUUUUGAAGAAUGUUUAGAAGAUGUAAACUCCUAGUGAGUAGUUAUGGUGAAAUGUGAUGAUAGAAAGAGAAAUCCUCAAAGGAGGAAAUUGUAAAGGUUAAGUUGAAAACCUAGUUAUGAAUAAGAGAAUAAGCAGAGAUUAGUAUGCUUUAAUUUCGAGGACGAAAUUCUUAGAAGAAGGGGUGAAUGUGACAACCCGAAAAGUUUCUAAAAUCUUGAAUGAUUAGAAUAAAGGUUAAAGAAUAAAACCUAGAUGAGAAUUUGAGAAUUUAUUUAAAAUUUUCAAGAAAAACCUAUAUGGUUUGAUAUUCGAAUGAGAAUAGAGAAAAUAUGGGUUACAAAAUUCCAAAACCCUAGAAAUGAAUUAAUAUGUACUUGGAGGAAUAUCAAGAAUAAGGUAUUACGAUACCUGUAAAUUCGAUGUGAACUGAAUAGUCUAAGAAAUGUUAUAUAAGUACAUAUGGAAAUUUUAUUAUUGGAGAUAAGAUUUCACAGGAAGAGAUGCUAUGUGCUAUAUAUAUAUAUAUAUAUAUAUAUAUAUAUAUUUUAGCAAGAGGAAUGAUGAAUCAAGUUAAUGAUCAAGAUAAAACUAUGUUAGUAAUUAACAUAGCUUGAGUGUUGGCCUUGACUGACAAAUAAGAAUUUGAAGAAGUAUAAGGUCGUUAGUUAAUACGAUUAGUAAUGAGAAUGGAGUAAUUUAAAACUCAAAAUUUGAGUUAGAGAUAGAAUUUUGAAGCAUGGACUGCUCGAUUGCGUCCAAAACGUCGAGUUUAGUCAGAAUGGACAGUAAGCACAAAAUGUGUAAAGAUUGACUUUUGGUCAAAGUCAACAGUUAACUUUUUAUGGAGAAAAGUCAAAAUUAGUGUGAGAAGUGAAAUAUGUUAUGAUUAUAUGAAUUAUGGAUAUGAGUAAAUAAAUAUACAUUAUAUAAUGUGAAUACAUUUAUUUUGUAUAUAAGG